AACAAUGAUGUGGAUCCAUGACUUUACUUGGAGAAAAUGUAACAUUAAUACCUAACAUCUUUGCUUCAGAUUGUUGCUCUCACAAAUGUUUCCCCUCCACGAGUCAGAGGGCACAUUCAGGUGAGAGGUAAAACAUUAAACAAUAUUCCCCCCAGGCAGGAUUUUGAUUGAGAUCGUCAGCAGUGAACAGUGAAAAAAAAAAAAAAAGGUGCUGUCAAAAACUUGUUCUAUGAAAUGCCACUCGACUGGUCAGAAACCUAAAAUGCAGUUUAAAAAUCAGAGCAACCAUAAAAAUAUAUUAAUUUCUCUCCUUUGUCACCUUUUGAAUAUAAAUAUAUAUUUAAAUGUAAUAAAGCAGAACAUGCAUCAACCAUUUGUAACAGAGUGCCUUAAAUAACGUGUAGAUUACACCAGGAACUAGGGAACACCAAUAAGUAACUAAGUUUGACAUGAUAUACCAGCAGUAGAUAAAAAAAAAAAAAAAUUAAAGAAAAGAUUAAAAACAUUUCAGCCAGCAUUUGGGAAAAAAAUGC